GUGACCUCGGAUCAGGUAGGAAUACCCGCUGAACUUAAGCAUAUCAAUAAGCGGAGGA
rnacentral:rRNA from 5 species